GGGGAUGUUUUAAUUCGCCGGUUAAAUAUCGAAUUUCCGGAGCAAUCGGUGUUUGGUCUAACACACCUAAAUAAAUAGCCAACAAAUAUAAAUGCCAACAAUAUCUUGGCUAAGGUUAAAUCAGCUUUUAACUUGAUGCAACCGGCUUUCGUUGCUGCCUAAUACUGGCCGCGACCGUUUCCCCUGAUCGCUCAUUGUUGGGGUUAGGAAGCGUCAUGAAGAUGAGUUGCUUUCAUCCUUCUUUCCUCAAGGAGGCUGAACUAAGACAAUUGAGGAUCUUACAAAGGUAUAAGUUGUUUGUUAAUUUCCUUUGCGAGAAACAAACUAACAAACUAUGAUUGUAGCGCUAGAAAUUCUCUAUUAAUCGCACGUGGGCGCACUACCCACCAUCUCCACCA
rnacentral:tmRNA from 2 species